rnacentral:rRNA from 1 species
CCUACGGGUGGCAGCAGUGGGGAAUAUUGCACAAUGGGCGCAAGCCUGAUGCAGCCAUGCCGCGUGUGUGAAGAAGGCCUUCGGGUUGUAAAGCACUUUCAGCGGGGAGGAAGGCGGUGAGGUUAAUAACCUCAUCGAUUGACGUUACCCGCAGAAGGAGCACCGGCUAACUCCGUGCCAGCAGCCGCGGUAAUACGGAGGGUGCAAGCGUUAAUCGGAAUUACUGGGCGUAAAGCGCACGCAGGCGGUCUGUCAAGUCGGAUGUGAAAUCCCCGGGCUCAACCUGGGAACUGCAUUCGAAACUGGCAGGCUAGAGUCUUGUAGAGGGGGGUAGAAUUCCAGGUGUAGCGGUGAAAUGCGUAGAGAUCUGGAGGAAUACCGGUGGCGAAGGCGGCCCCCUGGACAAAGACUGACGCUCAGGUGCGAAAGCGUGGGGAGCAAACAGGAUUAGAUACCCCGGUAGUC